GUCAGGAUGGCUGGAGUGUGACUUACACCACUCAGAGUAUCUGUACCUUGAAGGGGUCAUCAGUGGASCUGWCCUGCUCUUACACAUAUCCCAGUGGUACAGUCACAAAAACCUUCUGGUUCACUAAAAAUGAUGCUGAGGGGAAUCCUGUGAGUCUGAGUGAUGAUGCAGACUAUACAGCUCGUGUGACGUAUCAUAAAGAUAACAAGAAUGACUGCACUCUGACAAUCACAGACCUGAGAGAGAGUGACUCAGCUACGUACAAGUUCAGAUUUAUAACAGAUCAGAUCGGAGGGAGAUUUACUGGCAACCCUGGAGUCACUCUGUCUGUCACAGAUCUGCAGGUGAAGGUGACUCCUUAUUCAGUUUUAUCAGCGUGGAAGACACUGACCUGCACCACCUGUGUUCUGACUGGUAACCCCACCUACACCUGGUACAAGAACGGACAGAUAGUAACUGACAACACUUCUCCCUAUUCAGUCUACCCUGAUGCUGCAGACAGUUACUCCUGYGCUGUAAAAGCCAAUGAGGAUCUCCACUCUCCUGCAGUGUGUGUUCAGGAUCAGAGCUGCAACAGAGUAACUUAUAUUGACAAGAGUAUCU